rnacentral:sRNA from 2 species
GCAUGCCGAAUUUCUCCAUCAACUCCCUCUGCGCUCCGUCGAAAACUUGCCUAAACUGCCUCGACCCUUGCUCCCCCAGCACUUUGUCUCUGAUAUCGGUUCGCCGGAUGACCUGCCGCGAAUACUCGCUCGCCAGUGCGAGUCGUACAAGCUUCUUGACCAUUACCUCAAUGGCUCUGUGAAGCUGGGUGGAGAUCUCCGGCGUCGACCGGCCAUCUGUAGAAGCAUCUGAAUCGGAGUCAGAGGCCUGGCGCCGCUGUCGUUUUUGUUGCUGUGUGGGUCGUUGGGAGGGACCAUGCUGGGGAUCAAACGAGGCCUCAGAAUUCACAUUCGACUCAUCUUCGUCGUCGGGCUGUUUCAAAAGAGAGGAGGAAUCGUUGCGUUAGUUCGAACUCUCAGAAAACCUCGUUGAAGGUUCGAUUUGACCUGUAAGGGAAGAAGGAAAUAAUUAGAUAUGAUAGAAGACGUACAGCGCGACGGCGGUUGCGCACGACGGGCAUUCUUUCAAUGCAAACUGUAAUCUUCCUGCUGGAUUUUGGGGGUUACUCGGUUAGCUUCGUUAUUAUUAGGAUAAGGUGGUAGCAGGUCGAUAGAUUCGAAUGCAGAAAUAAAUAAAUUGGUCAACUCUUUUGAGUAUUUCGUGAAGAGCGACUUUGAAUUUAAUUAAGUAG